rfam:Salmo salar isolate Sally breed double haploid chromosome ssa26, whole genome shotgun sequence.
UGAAUGCACUAAUUGUAAGUCGCUCUGGAUAAGAGCGUCUGCUAAAAUGACAAAAA